rnacentral:rRNA from 1 species
GACGAACGCUGGCGGCGUGCUUAACACAUGCAAGUCGAACGGAAAGGCCCUGCUUUUGUGGGGUGCUCGAGUGGCGAACGGGUGAGUAACACGUGAGUAACCUGCCCUUGACUUUGGGAUAACUUCAGGAAACUGGGGCUAAUACCGGAUAGGAGCUCCUGCUGCAUGGUGGGGGUUGGAAAGUUUCGGCGGUUGGGGAUGGACUCGCGGCUUAUCAGCUUGUUGGUGGGGUAGUGGCUUACCAAGGCUUUGACGGGUAGCCGGCCUGAGAGGGUGACCGGCCACAUUGGGACUGAGAUACGGACCAGACUCCAACGUGAGGCAGCAGUGGGAAAUAUUGCACAAUGGGCGGAAGCCUGAUGCAGAAACGCCGCGUGCGUGAUGACGGCCUUCUGGUUGAAAACCGCUUUCGCCUGUGACGAAGCGUGAGUGACGGUAAUGGGUAAAGAAGCACCGGCUAACUACGUG